UAGGGAAUCUUCCGCAAUGGACGCAAGUCUGACGGAGCAACGCCGCGUGAGUGAAGAAGGAUUUCGGUUUGUAAAACUCUGUUGUUAGAGAAGAACAGCGCAUAGAGUAACUGUUAUGCGUGUGACGGUAUCUAACCAGAAAGCCACGGCUAACUACGUGCCAGCAGCCGCGGUAAUACGUAGGUGGCAAGCGUUGUCCGGAUUUAUUGGGCGUAAAGCGAGCGCAGGCGGUCAAUUAAGUCUGAUGUGAAAGCCCCCGGCUCAACCGGGGAGGGUCAUUGGAAACUGGUUGACUUGAGUGCAGAAGAGGAGAGUGGAAUUCCAUGUGUAGCGGUGAAAUGCGUAGAUAUAUGGAGGAACACCAGUGGCGAAGGCGACUCUCUGGUCUGUAACUGACGCUGAGGCUCGAAAGCGUGGGUAGCAAACAGG
rnacentral:rRNA from 1 species